rnacentral:antisense_RNA from 1 species
UCGAAGUCGUCGUCGAAGCCGUCGAAGUCGUAGUCGAAGUCGUCGAUGUCGUCGAAGUCGACGAAGUCGUCGAAGUCGUCGAAGUCGUCGAAGUCGCCCAAGUCGUCGAAGUCGUCGAAGUCGUCGAAGUCGUCGACGUCGUCGUCGAAGUCGUCGAAGUCGUCGACGUCGUCGUCGAAGUCGUCGAAGUCGUCGACGUCGUCGUCGAAGUCGUCGAAGUCGUCGACGUCGUCGUCGAAGUCGUCGAAGUCGUCGACGUCGUCGUCGAAGUCGUCGAAGUCGUCGACGUCGUCGUCGAAGUCGUCGAAGUCGUCGACGUCGUCGUCGAAGUCGUCGAAGUCGUCGACGUCGUCGUCGAAGUCGUCGAAGUCGUCGACGUCGUCGUCGAAGUCGUCGAAGUCGUCGACGUCGUCGUCGAAGUCGUCGAAGUCGUCGACGUCGUCGU